CAGAGCCCUGAGCAGAGACAUGGCCCGUCUGGUGCUGCCUGAAUCCUCCAGGGGCACCCAGCUGCUCUGUUGCAUGGUCCUGUGUCUGGUGGGACCAGGGUCAGUGGCUGCUGGAGUCACCCAGUCCCCCAGACACCUCAUCAAAGGCCUCGGUGGGGAGGCUGUUCUGAAAUGCCACCCCAUCUCUGGACACAACCGUGUGUACUGGUACCAACAGGUUCUGGGGCAGGAACUCAGCUUUCUCAUUCGGUAUUAUGAACAGCAGGAGUAUGGGAAAGAAAAUUUCCCCAACCGCUUCAAAGGAAAGCAGUUCAGAGACUACAGCUCCGAGCUGACCAUGCACACCUUGCAGCUGGGGGACUCGGCCGUGUACCUCUGUGCCAGCAGCUUAGACACAGCCCUGCAGGGCCCAUGCCUUUCUAGUAGGGAGCACUCAGUGCACCAUGUCAUCCACAGGGAGCUGAAGCUACUGGACCUUCCAAACGUCCCUUGCACGUCCAUUCUUCAUCUCCACGCCUCCGAAGUCAACAAGACCCUGGAUUCCAUCAUCGUACAAGGGCCUUGGUCCAUACCGUAG